GCCACGGUAGUAGAGUGGUUAGAACGCUGGCCUUGUAAUCCUGGGGUCUCGGGUUCGAUUCCCGGCGGUGCCC
rnacentral:tRNA from 1 species